ACACAGGACAGAGUGAAAAGGACACUGAAGAUGCAGAAGGCGGAGGCGAGCCAGAAGGCGCCGUAAGGCCUGAGAACCUCCUGGAAAGAGAGGAAGGGCCUCGUGUAGACACAACAGGGAGCAGGCUGCACGGGGGCAGUGUGAGCACGGAGGACACUCAGGACCCAGUGGCAUGGAAGGAAGAGAGAGCACUUCCCGUCACUCAGAGCCUGGUCACCCUCCCAGGACAGACCUGAUGACCUCCCAGGGCACCCUGUCCACUGCAUUCAUUGCUGUCUCUGGCUCCUCCAACAGGCCUGGACAUGGUAUGUACCAGGAGACCUGGGGGAGGGGGGGCGGACGGGAAUGAAUGCCUGGACAGGUGGCCUAUCUGCUCCAGAACCAUCCUCCUCUAUCAGCUGGGGAGCCCCGUGGCAGGGUCCAGGGCUGUGUCAGUCCAUCUGUGCAAAAGUAGCAAAGUUUUAAAAUGAACUGACGCUCCCACAACCCUGAGGGGAAGGUGCUGUCACCCUCCUCCAUCUUCAGCCAAGGAAGCUGGUUUAGAGAAGGUGAGCAGCACACCCCAGGUCACACAGUGGGAAGUGGCCGAGGUGGGGUUAGAGCCCAGGCUUGUCAACUCCAAAGCCAGAGUUCUUCCCGCACAGCCCUAGAUCCUGGCCCAUGUCCCCACUGUCCAAUGGUGGAACUGUAUCCUGCUUUCCUUCUGCCGGAAUGGCCUGAAGGCUCCUGAGUGGUCACAGCCUGUGUUCUGCACCUUUCCUGGCCCAUCUGUCUUCCCUUCGUCCCUGACCAAGAUGGCCGGUGUCCCAGGAUGGUGGGGCCUCAGCCACUGGCCCUGAGUCUUCUGCAGUAAGAGUAAUUCUGAAAAGCGCUCCCCACUGACUACGUGAGGAGGAGACCCUCAGGGCCUGCACUUACC